rnacentral:lncRNA from 1 species
AUGGACUAGUUUUAAGUGGAGAAGGACUCCUCCACGUUCACUAAAAGCCACAUAAAAUUAUAAUUGCCGCCCACCUCAAAUCAGUGUGAGAAAUAAAGAGUCCUUCUUAAAGAAGGCUCAUUAUUAAACGUGUUGCCUUAGAAGAUAAAUCAAAAAUCUUAUGUUUUGAUGCCAAAAAUUAAUAGAAUUUUUAUGGCACAU